GAUAAACGCUAGCGGCAGGCCUAAUACAUGCAAGUCGGACGGGAUUUGGGAGCUUGCUCCUAAUGAGAGUGGCGCACGGGUGCGUAACACGUAUGUAACCUACCUUAGUCAGGGGGAUAGCCUCUCGAAAGAGAGAUUAAGACCGCAUAACAUUAUUGAGUGGCAUCAUUUAAUAAUCAAAUAUUGAUAGGACUAAGAUGGGCAUGCGGAACAUUAGCUAGUUGGUAGGGUAACGGCCUACCAAGGCUACGAUGUUUAGGGGAUCUGAGAGGAACGCCCCCCACCAUGGUACUUGGACACGGACCAGACUCCUACGGGAGGCAGCAGAAAGGAAUAUUGGUCAAUGGGCGGAAGCCUGAACCAGCCAUGCCGCGUGCAGGAAGACGGCCCUACGGGUUGUAAACUGCUUUUAUACGGGAAUAAACCUACUUACGUGUAAGUAGCUGAAUGUACUGUAAGAAUAAGGAUCGGCUAACUCCGUGCCAGCCGCCGCAGUAA
rnacentral:rRNA from 1 species